rnacentral:tRNA from 1 species
GGGCGGUUAGCUCAGUUGGUUAGAGCGCUGGUCUCACAUACCAGAGGUGAGAGGUUCGAUCCCUCUACCGCCCA